GUAGGGAAUCUUCCACAAUGGACGAAAGUCUGAUGGAGCAACGCCGCGUGAGUGAAGAAGGUUCUCGGAUCGUAAAACUCUGUUGUGAGGGAAGAACAAGUACCGGAGUAACUGCCGGUACCUUGACGGUACCUCAUUAGAAAGCCACGGCUAACUACGUGCCAGCAGCCGCGGUAAUACGUAGGUGGCAAGCGUUGUCCGGAAUCAUUGGGCGUAAAGCGCGCGCAGGCGGUCCCUUAAGUCUGAUGUGAAAGCCCACGGUUCAACCGUGGAGGGUCAUUGGAAACUGGGGGACUUGAGUGCAGAAGAGGAAAGCGGAAUUCCAAGUGUAGCGGUGAAAUGCGUAGAGAUUUGGAGGAACACCAGUGGCGAAGGCGGCUUUCUGGUCUGUAACUGACGCUGAGGCGCGAAAGCGUGGGGAGCAAACAGGAUUAGAAACCCUGGUAGUCC
rnacentral:rRNA from 1 species